AUGACACGAGAACCAAAAAUAACAGCAGCGCACAACAUACGAACGGCGGGCGGGCGGGGCAGAGUUAUUCGUGAUGGUGAUGGUGUCCGUAGAUUCCAAGUCCGCUCAACGAGUCUUCUAGAUGUACUUGAACAGCACACCUCCAUACGUGGCGAAAAAGGGCGCGAACACGAGGGACUCGACGGCCAUGAGCUUGAUGAGGAUGUUGAGCGACGGGGUUUCCACGCCGAAGAGGGUUCCAACAAUGAGGGGGGUGAGCAUGACCAAAGCACCCGGAGGGAUCAUCUCCUUGAUGGAAGCAUCAGUGGAGAUCUUUACACAGGUGGCAUAGUCGGGCUUGGCAGUUCCCUCCAUCAGUCCAGGGAUGGUGUUGAACUGCCUGCGGACCUCCUCAACCAUCUUGAGAGCGGCACUUCCAACACUCUUCAUGGUCAUGGCAGAGAACCAGUACGGAAGCAUGGCUCCGACAAUCAGACCAAUGAACACCUUGGGAGAUAG
rnacentral:rRNA from 1 species